UGUGUCUAAUAUCAUUGGACAUUUUCGUCUGUCUAUCACACAAAGAACGUCAGCGAAUAAGAACAAAACUAGAAUGCUGAUGAUUUCAAUGGCGAGUCAUUUGCCAACAUUUGAGAUCUAUCCAGUGUGUCCAGCUCAUGUUUAGUUUAGCAUGGCGAAUACACCAACAUUGCAGCCGGACGAGCUACAGAACCAAAUCAAGGAUGCGGCUCAAAACCUGUUCUCUCUGCUGGCCAGACAUACCAGCAGCCCAACCGCAUCCCUGGUGGACACCCCCUCCCAAUCACUUCCUGGCCCUGCAUUUAGUGGUGGCCGUGGUGCGAGCCCAAGCCUGCAUCUAGUACACCAGCCGCCACCUACUCACCACCUAGUCCCAGCUGGUGGCCGUGGUGCGAGCCCAAGCCUGCAUCUAGUACACCAGCCGCCACCUACUCACCACCUAGUCCCAGCUGGUGGCCGUGGUGCGAGCCCAAGCCUGCAUCUAGUACACCAGCCUCCACCUACUCACCACCUAGUCCCAGCUGGUGGCCGUGGCCGUGGCCAUCCAUCAGUACAGGAGGAGAUGGAGAUGUUAUAACAGAUUGAACAGCAUUGUUUAUCUUCAUAUGUUGUCUCCAUGUAAACUGUUAUCAAUUCUUGAAAUUGCUUGAAUCUUUACUCAGAUCCUUUCCAUACUACGGAAAGCGGAGGAAGGGGGUGCCUGGAAGGAGGCCUCCGCCAUCAAAUAAGAUUCAACCAGUGAAAUCAGGUUGCAGUUCAUACUGAUGGCGGAGGUCACGGACAAGACUCCAAAACCAAAACAGGAGACCCAACUCCUUGAGGCGGGCCUUGGGAGAAGGACCAUUAAUAUGCCGGAGAGAGCUGAAUAUGAAGAGAUUGUCGGCCUUCUUGAAGACACCUAUCCGAAACUAAAGCUGUUAUCGGGGGGAUGGCUGUUCUAUAAAACGGCAGGUGGUAGUGGACAGAGAAAGCUGUCCGUGAUACCUUCGGAAACAGAAGGGUAUAAUGCCACCAUGCUGAAAGCGGCAACCAGGAACGGAAAGAACAUUCUUUACAUAGUACCUUUACAAAACAGUCUGGACACAUCUCCACUGCCACACACAUUACCAGAAUUUUCAAGAAUGCCUAAAUCAAUUUGCAACACAUGUGGCAAGACCAUGCCUCUUCCAUUCCUGCCUAUGCAUAUUGAACAGUGCAUGAAAGAGAUCAUUGAGGUAGACUACAUUAAGGAGGUAACUGAAGAGGAGGUCACUGAAGAGGCUACACCGGCAUGGAAUGUAGAAAAUGAGAGAUGUCCAACAUGUGGAAAAUAAUUCUUAAAAGCCUUCAUAGAGCUCCAUGCCAGCUCCUGUGGUGACAUUCUGAUCAUUGAUGCGGAUGACAAAGAAGAUCCUUCUGCAUCUCCGGAAGGCGGUAUAUUAAGAAGAACUGUGGCAGGAGGAGAUAGAGAGCAGAGAGCUGCCGUGGGAGGUCCCAGUGUGGUCCAGAGAGGAGGAGCUGCAGCGGGAGGUCCCAGUACGGUCCAGAGAGGAGGAGCUGCAGC